AGAGCGAACGCUGGCGGCAGGCCUAAUACAUGCAAGUCGAACGGACCCUUCGGGGUUAGUGGCGGACGGGUGAGUAACACGUGGGAACGUGCCCUUUGGUUCGGAACAACUCAGGGAAACUUGAGCUAAUACCGAAUGUGCCCCCAUCCUUAAGCAAGAUGGGUGGGAAAGAUUUAUCGCCAUUGGAGCGGCCCGCGUCUGAUUAGCUAGUUGGUGGGGUAAAGGCUCACCAAGGCGACGAUCAGUAGCUGGUCUGAGAGGAUGAUCAGCCACACUGGGACUGAGACACGGCCCAGACUCCUACGGGAGGCAGCAGUAGGGAAUCUUGCGCAAUGGGCGAAAGCCUGACGCAGCCAUGCCGCGUGAAUGAUGAAGGUCUUAGGAUUGUAAAAUUCUUUCAGCGGGACGAUAAUGACGGUACCGCAGAAGAAGCCCGGCUAACUUCGUGCCAGCAGCCGC
rnacentral:rRNA from 1 species